AACGAACGCUGGCGGCAUGCCUAACACAUGCAAGUCGAACGAGACCUUCGGGUCUAGUGGCGCACGCGUGCGUAACGCGUGGGAACCUGCCCUUGGGUUCGGCAUAACUCCCCGAAAGGGGUGCUAAUACCGGAUCAUGUCUUCGGACCAAAGAUUUAUCGCCUUUGGAUGGGCCCGCGUUGGAUUAGCUAGUUGGUAGGGUAAAAGCCUACCAAGGCGACGAUCCAUAGCUGGUCUGAGAGGAUGAUCAGCCACACUGGGACUGAGACACGGCCCAGACUCCUACGGGAGGGAGCAGUGGGGAAUAUUGGACAGUGGGCGAAAGCCUGAUCCAGCAAUGCCGCGUGAGUGAUGAAGGCCUUAGGGUUGUAAAGCUCUUUUACCCGGGAUGAUAAUGACAGUACCGGGAGAAUAAGCUCCGGCUAACUCCGUG
rnacentral:rRNA from 1 species